rnacentral:rRNA from 1 species
GACGAACGCUGGCGGCGUGCUUAACACAUGCAAGUCGAACGGAAAGGCCUUUUCGGAGGUACUCGAGUGGCGAACGGGUGAGUAACACGUGGGUGAUCUGCCCUGCACUCUGGGAUAAGCCUGGGAAACUGGGUCUAAUACCGGAUAGGACCGCACUUUAGUGUGUGUGGUGGAAAGUUUUUUCGGUGUAGGAUGAGCCCGCGGCCUAUCAGCUUGUUGGUGGGGUAAUGGCCUACCAAGGCGGCGACGGGUAGCCGGACUGAGAGGUUGGUCGGCCACAUUGGGACUGAGGUACGGCCCAGACGCCUACGGGAGGCAGCAGUGGGGAAGAUUGCACAAUGGGCGCAAGCCUGAUGCAGCGACGCCGCGUGGGGGAUGACGGCCUUCGGGUUGUAAACUCCUUUCGCCAGGGACGAAGCGUUUUGUGACGGUACCUGGAGAAGAAGCACCGGCUAACUACGUG